GCGGUCGUAGCUCAGCUGGUUAGAGCACUGCCCUGUCACGGCAGGGGUCGUGGGUUCAAAUCCCAUCGACCGCG
rnacentral:tRNA from 1 species